rnacentral:lncRNA from 1 species
AGAAACUAGCGGAACCACGAUGGGAAAAGACCAGGAUUACCAGCUGCUGCCCACAGAGGAGCCACUGUCUACAGAGGAACCUGAUGCGAAGGUUUACCAAGUAGAUCCCAAUGGUGAAAGCCAGCUACACCCCAAAAUGAAUGAAGCCCCGAGACAGCAGGAAGCAGCUUAAGAGACAAGACACCCUUAGUCCCUUUUCUUUCCUUCUCUUUAUAAUAACAAGAAGGGAGGUAUGUUGGCAUCAGGACCUCCCAAACCUAUGACAUCACAUAGGUGACAAUGUGACCUAUAGAUUCGUCAAGACAACAGCUACCACAUUCUCAGAAUCUGCUUGGCUCACCUCCCACCUUUAUCUGCAUUAAGUCAUUUUCCAUAUGAAUAAGGGGAAUGCCCCUCCUUCUCUGUCUUUCCUCCCUUUUCUUUCUGCUGCUAUCUUACCCCUCUUCCCCCCAAAUAAACCUCUUACACAUGGAACUGUUUGGGCUAGUGUGCUGUGUUCAGACGAGAGCCCCAAUUUUAACACAUCAGGAGUUUUGGGUCAGCCUUUGUAAGUUGGACUUCAUGGUUCAGUGAGGUCUUUAAGAUGAAUGGACAGAUGCCGUUCUGACAUCGUCUCUUCCUAGCUCUGGGAUGUUACAAAAGACACAGUUAUAAGCACCUUGUUUUCUUUGCAUUCUGAGUCGAACCUUUCACCAGCUGGGGACUAAGCGUUCAAACAUGGGAGCCGCUCCCAUUGAAAUCACCACUGACCAGAAGAGGACAUCAGAUUUUGUGGAACUGGAGCUAUAAUGGAACUGUCAUGUGAAUGACUGUUGGGGACUAAACUCUGAUCGUGUGUAAGAGUUCAAAACUGCUGAAUAGUCUCUCCAGCUCACGCAUUUUGAGGCAUCUGAGCUUUCAAAAAGCCACCUGUAAAGUCUUUGGAACUGAAGUGCUUCCCAGGCAAUGCCUUUCUAUGAUACUAUGUCUGUACUUUCUGGAAUUGUAGCCACUAGCAACAUGUGGCCUUUGAGUUCUCAGAAUGUGGCUAGUUUAUUUGAUUAACUUUGGAUUUGCAUUUCCCCAGUGGCGCCUCACUUUGCCCGUUUCUCCCACCAGAUGGCGCCCUCAUUGAGGGAAAGAAAUGGGUUUGCAACACCAGCAACCU